CACAGUGUAGCAAUACAUGGGUGGCGACCGGCAAACGGGUGCGGAACACGUACGCAACCUUCCUUCAGGCGGGGAAUAGCCCAGAGAAAUUUGGAUUAAUACCCCAUAAUAUUUUGAGAUGGCAUCAUCUUAUUAUUAAAGCUACGGCACCUGGAGAUGGGCGUGCGGCUGAUUAGGUAGUUGACGGGGUAAUGGCCCACCAAGCCUACGAUCAGUAGCUGAUGUGAGAGCAUGAUCAGCCACACGGGCACUGAGACACGGGCCCGACUCCUACGGGAGGCAGCAGUAAGGAAUAUUGGUCAAUGGACGCAAGUCUGAACCAGCCAUGCCGCGUGGAGGAUGAAGGUCCUCUGGAUUGUAAACUUCUUUUAUCUGGGACGAAAAAAGGGUUUUCUAACUCGUCUGACGGUACCAGAUGAAUAAGCACCGGCUAACUCCGUGCCAGCAGCCGCGGUAAUACGGAGGGUGCAAGCGUUAUCCGGAUUCACUGGGUUUAAAGGGUGCGUAGGCGGGCAUUUAAGUCAGUGGUGAAAUACCUGAGCUUAACUUGGGAACUGCCAUUGAUACUAUUUGUCUUGAAUGUCGUGGAGGUUAGCGGAAUAUGUCAUGUAGCGGUGAAAUGCUUAGAUAUGACAUAGAACACCUAUUGCGAAAGCAGCUAACUACGCGAAUAUUGACGCUGAGGCACGAAAGCGUGGGGAUCAAACAGGAUUAGAUACCCUGGUAGUCCACGCCCUAAACGAUGAUUACUCGACAUUAGCGAUACACUGUUAGUGUCUGAGCG
rnacentral:rRNA from 1 species